GAUGAACGCUGGCGGCGUGCCUAAUACAUGCAAGUCGAGCGAACAGACGAGGAGCUUGCUCCUCUGACGUUAGCGGCGGACGGGUGAGUAACACGUGGAUAACCUACCUAUAAGACUGGGAUAACUUCGGGAAGCCGGAGCUAAUACCGGUUAAUUUAUUGAACCGCAUGGUUCAUUAGUGAAAGACGGUUUUGCUGUCGCUUAUAGAUGGAUCCGCGCCGCAUUAGCUAGUUGGUAAGGUAACGGCUUACCAAGGAAACGAUGCGUAGCCGACCUGAGAGGGUGAUCGGCCACACGGGAACUGAGAAAGGGUCCAGACUCCGAAGGGAGGCAGCAGUAGGGAAUCUUCCGCAAUGGGCGAAAGCCGGACGGAGCAACGCCGCGUGAGUGAUGAAGGUCUUCGGAUCGUAAAACGCUGUUAUUAGGGAAGAACAAAUGUGUAAGUAACUAUGCACGUCUUGACGGUACCUAAUCAGAAAGCCACGGCUAACUACGUG
rnacentral:rRNA from 1 species